rnacentral:rRNA from 1 species
UACGAAGGGUGCUAGCGUUGUUCGGAAUCACUGGGCGUAAAGCGCGCGUAGGCGGCCGAUCAAGUCAGGGGUGAAAUCCUUGGGCUUAACCCAAGAAUUGCCUUUGAAACUGUUUGGCUGGAGUAUUGGAGGGGAGUGCGGAAUUUCUAAUGUAGCGGUGAAAUGCGUAGAUAUUAGAAGGAACACCGGUGGCGAAGGCGGCACUCUGGACAACUACUGACGCUGAGGCGCGAAAGCGUGGGGAUCAAACAGG